GACCCAAUAGCCAUUUUCCUGAUUGACCGAAGAGGGUACUUCGCCCUAUUGGUCUUUGGGAUUAUGGUCGAAGCAGAGUAGAUGAAGACCCAACAGCCAUUUUCCUGAUUGACCGAAGAGGGUACUUCGCCCUAUUGGUCUUUGGGAUUAUGGUCGAUGCAGAGUAGAUGAAGACCCAACAGCCAUUUUCCUGAUUGACCGAAGAAGGUACUCCGCCCUAUUGGUCUUCGGGAUUAUGGUCGAAGCAGAGUAGAUGAAGACCCAACAGCCAUUUUCCUGAUUGACCGAAGAGGGUACUCCGCCCUAUUGGUAUUCGGGAAUAUGGUCAAAGUAGAGUAGAUGAAGACCCAACAGCCAUUUUCCUGAUUGACCGAAAAAGGUAUUCCGCCCUAUUGGUCUUCGGGAUUAUGGUCGAAGCAGAGUAGAUAAAGACCCAACAGCCAUUUUCCUGAUUGAUCGAAGAAGGGUAUUCCGCCCUAUUGGUCUUCGGGAUUAUGGUCGAAGCAGACCCAGAAGCCACACUCCUGAGAAUCCACUGAGGGCACACCGCCCUGGGGAUACUUGUCUUUGGGGAAAUCCAUCUAAAGUUGCAGCUUCAGAUGGAAAGCAGCUGAGGAGUUCGACAAAGCCA
rnacentral:lncRNA from 1 species